UGACGACUUAUCGUCACCAGCCAGGUUAAGCGGCUAUGCCGCGGAGCCGAAGGGAAACCGAGUCUCAAACGGGCGAGAAGUUGGUGGCGGUAGACGCGAAACCACGUGACCUACGCAUGGCCAGGAUGAAGUUGGGGUAACACCCAAUGGAAGACCGAACUCACUAGUGUUGAAAAACUAGGGGAUGAGCUGUGUGGGGGAGUGAAAGUCUAACCAAACGUGGAGAUAGCUCGUUCUCUCCGAAAUAACUUUAGGGUUAACGUUCGACUAGUUGGCAUUGGGGGUAGAGCGACUGAAUUCGAAUGGGGGCCUACCCGGCUACCCAUCGAAACCAAACUCCGAAUACCAGUGUACCAAGGUCGGGCAGCUAGACGGUGGGGGAUAAGCUUCAUCGUCGAGAGGGGAACAACCCAGAUCACCCGCUAAGGUCCCCAAAUCAUGCUAAGUGCGAAAGGAAGUUGGAUCCCUAAGACAGCCAGGAUGUUGGCUUAGAAGCAGCCACCAUUUAAACAACGCGUAAUAGCGGACUGGUCGAGGGGUCCUGCGCCGAUAAUGAACGGGACUCAAGCAUGAUACCGAAGCGGUGGGCGUAAUGCGGUAGGAGAGCGUUGCAGUUGCGGCGAAGGAGUACGGACAACGAGCUCUGGAGCGGCUGCAAGUGAUUAUGUCGGAACGAGUAGACGAUAAAACGGGUGAGAAUCCCGUUCGCCGUAAGCCUAAGGUUUCCUGGGGAAGGUAAAUCCGCCCAGGGUUAGCCGGUGCCUAACAUGAGGCCGAAAGGCGUAGUGGAUGGGAAGCAGGUUAAUAUUCCUGCGCUCCCGGUACAACAUGGGACGCUGGUCGCGAGGGUAGCAGGCUUAUUAGAUUGCCUCAGGGCGUUUAUGAUCCCGAUACACCUGACCGAACAGCCAAGAAAACCGUACCGGAAACCGUACUAAAACCGACACAGGUAGGCGAGAUGAGUAUUCUAAGGCGCUCGAGAGAACGCUCGUGAAGGAACUCUGCAACAUGGCUCCGUAACUUCGGGAUAAGGAGCGCCCCCUCUGGGGGCCGCAGUGAAAAGGGUCUAGCGACUGUUUAUCAAAAACACAGGUCUGUGCCAAGGCGUAAGCCGCAGUAUACAGACUGACGCCUGCCCGGUGCUGGUAAGUUAAGGAAGAGGGUUAGCCGUAAGGUGAAGCUCGCAACCGAAGCUCCAGUAAACGGCGGCCGUAACUAUGACGGUCCUAAGGUAGCGAAGUUCCUUGUCGGGUAAGUUCCGACCUGCAUGAAUGGCGUAACGACUGGACCACUGUCUCCACGAGCGACUCGGUGAAACUGUAGUUGUCGUGAAGAUGCGACAUACCCGCAGCUAGACGGAAAGACCCCGUGAACCUUAACUGCAGCUUGGUAUUGGGUUUAGACCCAACAUGCG
rnacentral:rRNA from 1 species